UGGUGGAGUGAUUUGUCUGGUUAAUUCCGUUAACGAACGAGACCUCAGCCUGCUAAAUAGCAGGGCCAACCUUGGUUGGUGUACAGCUUCUUAGAGGGACUGUCGGUAUCUAGCCGAAGGAAGUUUGAGGCAAUAACA
rnacentral:rRNA from 1 species